CUCUGGGAGGGUUGUAGAUACUCCCCGCGCUCAGGAUGAACGCUGGCGGCGUGCUAAUACAUGCAAGUCGAGCGACAGACAAGGAGCUUGCUCCUUGACGUUAGCGGCGGACGGGUGAGUAACACGUGGGUAACCUACCUAUAAGACUGGGAUAACUUCGGGAAACCGGAGCUAAUACCGGAUAAUAUUUCGAACCGCAUGGUUCGAUAGUGAAAGAUGGUUUUGCUAUCACUUAUAGAUGGACCCGCGCCGUAUUAGCUAGUUGGUAAGGUAACGGCUUACCAAGGCGACGAUACGUAGCCGACCUGAGAGGGUGAUCGGCCACACUGGAACUGAGACACGGUCCAGACUCCUACGGGAGGCAGCAGUAGGGAAUCUUCCGCAAUGGGCGAAAGCCUGACGGAGCAACGCCGCGUGAGUGAUGAAGGUCUUCGGAUCGUAAAACUCUGUUAUUAGGGAAGAACAUACGUGUAAGUAACUAUGCACGUCUUGACGGUACCUAAUCAGAAAGCCACGGCUAACUACGUGCCAGCAGCCGCGGUAAUACGUAGGUGGCAAGCGUUAUCCGGAAUUAUUGGGCGUAAAGCGCGCGUAGGCGGUUUUUUAAGUCUGAUGUGAAAGCCCACGGCUCAACCGUGGAGGGUCAUUGGAAACUGGAAAACUUGAGUGCAGAAGAGGAAAGUGGAAUUCCAUGUGUAGCGGUGAAAUGCGCAGAGAUAUGGAGGAACACCAGUGGCGAAGGCGACUUUCUGGUCUGUAACUGACGCUGAUGUGCGAAAGCGUGGGGAUCAAACAGGAUUAGAUACCCUGGUAGUCCACGCCGUAAACGAUGAGUGCUAAGUGUUAGGGGGUUUCCGCCCCUUAGUGCUGCAGCUAACGCAUUAAGCACUCCGCCCGGGGA
rnacentral:rRNA from 1 species